rnacentral:rRNA from 1 species
UCUGCCCUACGGGACGCAGCAGUGGGGAAUAUUGCACAAUGGGCGAAAGCCUGACCGAGCAACGCCGCGUGAAUGAAGAAGGCCUUCGGGUUGUAAAAUUCUGUUAUAAGGGAAGAAAGGUGAUAGGAGGAAAUGACUAUCAAUUGACGGUACCUUAUGAGAAAGCCACGGCUAACUACGUGCCAGCAGCCGCAGUAAUACGUAGGUGGCAAGCGUUAUCCGGAAUUAUUGGGCGUAAAGAGCGCGCAGGUGGUUAAUUAAGUCUGAUGUGAAAGCCCACGGCUUAACCGUGGAGGGUCAUUGGA